AGUUCGAUUAUGGCUCAGAUUGAAGCUGGCGGGAUGCUUUACAUGCAAGUCGAACGGCAGCACGGACUUCGGUCUGGUGGCGAGUGGCGAACGGGUGAGUAAUGUAUCGGAACGUGCCUAGUAGCGGGGGAUAACUACGCGAAAGGUAGCACACCGUACUACGCCCUUCGGGGGAAAGCGGGGACCUUUCGCCUCGCACUAUUAGAGCGGCCGAUAUCGGAUUAGCGAAGUUGGUGGGGUAACGGCUCACCAAGGCGAUGAUCCGUAGCUGGUUUGAGAGGACGACCGGCCACACUGGGACCGAGACACGGCCCGGACUCCUACGGGAGGCAGCAGCGGGGAAUUUUGGACAAUGGGGGAAACCCUGAUCCAGCCUAUCCCGCGUGUGCGAUGAAGGCCUUCGGGUUGUAAAGCACUUUUGGCAGGAAAGAAACGGCACGGGAUAAUACCCCGUGCAACUGACGGUACCUGCAGAAUAAGCACCGGCUAACCACGCGCCAGCAGCCGCGGUAAUACGUAGGGUGCAAGCGUUAAUCGGAAUUACUGGGCGUAAAGCGUGCGCAGGCGGUUCGGAAAGAAAGAUGUGAAAUCCCAGAGCUUAACUUUUGGAACUGCAUUUUUAACUACCGCUAGGAGUGUGUCAGAGGGAGGUGGAAUUCCGCGUGUAGCAGUGAAAUGUGCGUAGAUAUGCGGAGGAACACCGAUGGCGAAGGCAGCCUCCUGGGAUAACACUGACGCUCAUGCACGAAAGCGUGGGGAGCAAACAGGAUUAGAUACCCUGGUAGUCCACGCCCUAAACGAUGUCAACUAGCUGUUGGGGCCUUCGGGCCUUUGGUAGCGCAGCUAACGCGUGAAGUUGACCGCCUGGGGAGUACGGUCGCAAGAUUAAACUCAAAGGAAUUGACGGGGACCCGCACAAGCGGUGGAUGAUGUGGAUUAAUU
rnacentral:misc_RNA from 1 species